rnacentral:rRNA from 1 species
GAUGAACGCUGGCGGCGUGCCUAAUACAUGCAAGUCGAGCGAACAGACGAGGAGCUUGCUCCUCUGACGUUAGCGGCGGACGGGUGAGUAACACGUGGAUAACCUACCUAUAAGACUGGGAUAACUUCGGGAAACCGGAGCUAAUACCGGAUAAUAUAUUGAACCGCAUGGUUCAAUAGUGAAAGACGGUUUUGCUGUCACUUAUAGAUGGAUCCGCGCCGCAUUAGCUAGUUGGUAAGGUAACGGCUUACCAAGGCAACGAUGCGUAGCCGACCUGAGAGGGUGAUCGGCCACACUGGAGCUGAGACACGGUCCAGACUCCUACGGGAGGCAGCAGUAGGGAAUCUUCCGCAAUGGGCGAAAGCCUGACGGAGCAACGCCGCGUGAAUGAUGAAGGUCUUCGGAUCGUAAAACUCUGUUAUUAGGGAAGAACAAAUGUGUAAGUAACUAUGCACGUCUUGACGGUACCUAAUCAGAAAGCCACGGCUAACUACGUG